UACGUAGGGUGCAAGCGUUGUCCGGAAUUAUUGGGCGUAAAGAGCUCGUAGGCGGUCUGUCGCGUCGGCUGUGAAAACCCGGAGCUCAACUCCGGGCCUGCAGUCGAUACGGGCAGACUGGAGUUCGGCAGGGGAGACUGGAAUUCCUGGUGUAGCGGUGAAAUGCGCAGAUAUCGGGAGGAACACCGGUGGCGAAGGCGGUUCUCUGGGCCGUGUACUGACGCUGAGACGCGAAAGCGUGGGAGCAAACAGG
rnacentral:rRNA from 1 species